rnacentral:rRNA from 1 species
CACGGGGGGAGCAAGCGUUGUCCGGAAUCAUUGGGCGUAAAGCGCGUGUAGGCGGUCCGGUAAGUCCGCUGUGAAAGUCGGGGGCUUAACCCUCGGAUGCCGGUGGAUACUGUCGGGCUAGAGUCCGGAAGAGGCGAGUGGAACUCCUGGUGUAGCGGUGGAAUGCGCAGAUAUCAGGAAGAACACCAACGGCGAAGGCAGCUCGCUGGGACGGUACUGACGCUGAGACGCGAAAGCGUGGGGAGCGAACAGG